GGAGGAAUAUUGGACAAUGGAGGCAACUCUGAUCCAGCCAUGCCGCGUGAAGGACUAAGGCCCUAUGGGUCGUAAACUUCUUUUGACGCAGAGCAAUAAGGAUUACGUGUAGUCUGAUGAGAGUAUGCGUCGAAUAAGCAUCGGCUAACUCCGUGCCCGCAGCCGCGGUAAUACGGAGGAUGCAAGCGUUAUCCGGAUUUAUUGGGUUUAAAGGGUGCGUAGGCUGUUUUGCAAGUCAGGGGUGAAAGCCCGGAGCUCAACUCCGGAACUGCCUUUGAUACUGCGAGGCUGGAAUACGGAUGCCGUGGGAGGAAUGAGUAGUGUAGCGGUGAAAUGCAUAGAUAUUACUCAGAACACCGAUUGCGAAGGCAUCUCACGAAUCCGUCAUUGACGCUGAGGCACGAAAGCGUGGGGAUCAAACAGGAUUAGAUACCCUGGUAGU
rnacentral:rRNA from 1 species